rnacentral:rRNA from 1 species
GACGAACGCUGGCGGCGUGCUUAACACACGCAAGUCGAACGGAAAGGCCCUGCUUUUGUGGGGUGCUCGAGUGGCGAACGGGUGAGUAACACGUGAGUAACCUGCCCUUGACUUUGGGAUAACUUCAGGAAACUGGGGCUAAUACCGGAUAGGAGCUCCUGCUGCAUGGUGGGGGUUGGAAAGUUUCGGCGGUUGGGGAUGGACUCGCGGCUUAUCAGCUUGUUGGUGGGGUAGUGGCUUACCAAGGCUUUGACGGGUAGCCGGCCUGAGAGGGUGACCGGCCACAUUGGGACUGAGAUACGGCCCAGACUCCUACGGGAGGCAGCAGUGGGGAAUAUUGCACAAUGGGCGGAGGCCUGAUGCAGCAACGCCGCGUGCGGGAUGACGGCCUUCGGGUUGUAAACCGCUUUCGCCUGUGACGAAGCGUGAGUGACGGUAAUGGGUAAAGAAGCACCGGCUAACUACGUG